UCACAGCCAAACAACUAAGCACGGCGAUGACAACCUCCCGCUGAGAUGCUCAACAAGAUGUGAUGCAUGGAUGUGUCUGACACUCACCGUUUGUGCCGUCCAGAGCCAACUGUAAACCCAGAUUUCUCCCUGGGUUCAGGACCCAGUGGUUGCUGGUCGCCGUCACGUCAAAAACCAACCAGCCCUCCUCUGCGGCCCAGAUGACCCGUGAGUCCAGGAGAAACAGCCUUCAUGAGGAACCAGAAGUAACACAUCUGGCCAGCACCAUGAUAGAGAUGCAGACGCACUGUGACAAGUUUACGAGCGCCACUCUUCUCUCCCCGCCCUCAGCCCCAGAGAGUCAUCCAGUCCGCCCCUCAUCUGG